rnacentral:misc_RNA from 1 species
GUAGGUAGAACCUGCGGGAAGGCUCAUUCAUAAUAAGUGUUUUAUGGCACUUUUUUUUAAAAAAAAAUAGCCCAGAUCCAGCUUUGUGUGAAAUGUCUGUCGAUUCUUUCCUCGGAGAGAGCGGCUCAACGCCAAGUCGUUUUUGAUCAACUCUGUCUGGAAAAUAUUAUGAAUAAAGUAAUUCAAAACACGACUUUGAACAAUGGAUCUCUUGGCUGUU